ACUGCGAGUGAUGUGGCACACGGAGUCAUCCUAACCAACCCGUUGGGGCCCUUUGAACAAAGGACUGCCUUUACUCCUGACUUUUCUGACAAGGGACAACGGUUCCUGCGCAGAUCUGCAGUUUCUAAAGUUGAUCGCGCGAUUGGAUUUGCUCCCCUUAGAAGAAAUUAGUGUCUCCCUCAUUGCAGAUGCAAAUGCGCUUAAGUUAGUGGGAAAUCUAUGUGUGCAUAUGUGAAACAUACUGUAUUUACC
rnacentral:lncRNA from 1 species